UCUGAGGGGGCGGAGCCAAAUCAUUACGACAUCAGACUCACCUGGACUGAUCACCUGAGAACUAUUUAACCUGCCACUCGGUCUGAUUGAUUCUUCUGUUCUGGUUUUAUCUGGUGUGUUUGUCCAACCUGCAGCUCAGGUCCCUCUCUAUCUCCCCACACAUCCACCAACCACUGGAACACAUCUCCAAAGUUCUGCCGGGCCAGCUCAGCUUCCCCUCAGAAGAAGUGCUGCCACCUGCCAGAUGAAGGAGCCUUUUGAGAGGCAGCUGGCAUCGUGAUUGGACUGUACUUUGGUCUGUUCCAAUCCAGCUUCAGCUCCAGAGACGGCAGGCGGGACGAGUCAACGGAGGCCUGGUGGAUGAAGACAUGCAGCUGAGUACAAUCCAGAAAACAACAGAGGAGGAGUGUAGUGGCCCAGAGCCAGAACAAACAGAGUAGCAUCGUAUAUCUCUUAGAAAACAUCAUAGUAUAGCCUUUGGUAUGAAAAAACGGCAUCAUAUACAUCAUAUAUUGUACAAAUAACAAGUCAAAGGAAAGAGACAUACAUUGUAGAAUUGUAGUAAUUGUGGGCUGACUGAUUUACUGAUUAUCAGUAUUUUAUUUUUUACUGAUUUACAGUAAUAAAUACAUUUAAAAAUGGCGCUACUUUGGCUCUGAACCUUUAUCUACCUGUGGUCGCUCUGUCUUCUGGAGUGAUUUGAUUGGUUAUACGUCACGAAUAAAACUCCUUUAACUUAA